GUCGAUUAGGUGUUGUAUCUACAUAUCAAUUUUUCGUGUUGGGGUUGAUCAGUUGUGGUCAUUCGAUA
rnacentral:tRNA from 1 species